UACGUAGGGUGCUAGCGUUGUCCGGAAUCAUUGGGCGUAAAGCGCGUGUAGGCGGUCCGUUAAGUCCGCUGUGAAAGUCGGGGGCUCAACCCUCGGAUGCCGGUGGAUACUGUCGGACUUGAGUACGGGAGAGGCGAGUGGAAUUCCUGGUGUAGCGGUGAAAUGCGCAGAUAUCAGGAGGAACACCAAUUGCGAAGGCAGCUCGCUGGAACGUUACUGACGCUGAGACGCGAAAGCGUGGGGAGCAAACAGG
rnacentral:rRNA from 1 species